rnacentral:lncRNA from 1 species
GGAGAUAGUCAAACCUUUUCAGAACAUAACUUUCCAGGUUUUAUGUUAAAAUUGCUAAGAGUUGCCUUUGUAACAUGCAAUUAUGACUACUAGAAACAAUUUUACAUGCAAGGUAUGUAAGAACAGUAAAUUGUGUUUUUUUUCCCUGUAAAAGGUUACAAAAGGUUUUUGCUUCUUUAAAAUUUCUGAGUCAUCAUUUUGGCAAAAUAUAUAAUUUAUGGGAAUCUGGAAUUCCAAAGUCAAACUUCAGUUUCAAAAUUCUCUUUCUGAAUGCCUGGCUUUUUGGAUGGAUCAGAGAGCCCCUGAAAACAUCCAGAAAAGAGCAGGUGAAAAAGCUUUUUAUGUUUUGGAUCUUCCGAAAACAUCAGCGAAAGACUGUCCUUGCCAUCCAGACUACAACAAAAACUUUAGGACCUUGAAGUUUGGGUUCAUAAUCUCAUAAAUGAGAAGGGUCCCUCUACACUCUCAGAACUGUACACCCGUUGGAACCCUUAAGAGACCAUCAAGCUUCACAUCAUCAUGCAACAAAGGUUCCAGCCAGUUCCAGGUGAAGACACCACCCCUGGCCAUCAAGAAGCUACCUUGCCUUCACCAGACAGAGCAGGAAUUUUUGAGUUGGGUGGAAGUAGUGACUAUAUGAAGCAACUACCACUGAAGGACCAGAAAAGAAUAACGACAAUAUUAAAGAAAACAGCCAUCUUGGAGUCCAGUUAUAUUUUAAUAAAAGAUUUGUUCUCUACCAAUGCCCUACACUGCUAACAGGAAACUGCCUUCUGGAUUUGUGGGAAGUUCACCAGCAGGAAGCGCCAGUGGAAAUUGGGAGGGUGGCUAUAGCUGAUUUCCACUGUUCUUCAGUUAGUUUCCUGGCUGCUCACAAAGAUUUUCCUGCAUGCCACUGCUCUCCAGGAAUCUACCAACAUUCACGUAGACUUCUCAAUGAAUGGCACGGAAAGUUUCUUCUUAAGGCAUCUUCAAAUUCAGAGAAUCCUUCUGGAUUUUUGGACUUUUUUCUCCCUCAACGUGGAUUAAAUGUUGGACUUUUCUCACUCAACUUGGAUUGAAUGUUGUCAUAGAGAUCUAACAGCAAGUGAACUAAUGCUGAUUCAAAGACACCAAGAGAGGGGGCGAAAUGGAAGGUGUGAAAUCACAGAAACCAAGGGAAUGAAAAACUGCAAAUAAAUAAGCCAUCACUUGAUAUCCUGCUACAUCUCCAGGAAUAAAAAGCUGGAAAUAAAUAAGCCAGCCAAGAAGAUUGAUACAUGACUGGAGCCUGAAUGGUAGAACUUUUUCAGAAGUGAGGAGUCUGUUGGCCCAGAAGAUCUGCGGUAAGAUCUGCCUCAACAUACCUUACUCAUUUUUUUCAAAGAGACUCUAGAGUCUAAAAUGAACAACCAAUCAAUUCUACAAACAUUGCAUCAUGAGGAGUUGCUGCACCUCUUCUCCAGGAUUUGCAAAACGUGUAGUCCAAAUCGAGUUCGGCUAGAACUGGUCUGUCAUCAAGAUAUGGCUCAUGAAAGAGAUUGGUGUUUAGGAGGCUGGGAAAAGGAAAUAUUUUGAGAGACUUCAUGUGCUCCGCACAUGGAGGUGGCUUCCUUUUGCCUCAGGUGAAGGGAGCUUCAACAAGAUCACUCAGAGUUUGAUCAAUGAUCUUAGAAUUUGCAGAACAUAGGGACUGCCAUUUGACUCACCCUUUAGAAGUCAGGAGGAAAGGUUACGUGGCUGGCACUUCUCAUGUCUGGGAAGGAACAACUGUGAAGUGCUGACCUAGACGAAUGUUGCACUUCCGCUGAUGAGUAGGCAAUGGCGAAUGUUUUCCAGGGUCCAAAUGUGGACCCGGCAACAGAGAGGCUGUCUGUAAUCACUUUAUAAGAGACACUAACAACAAUGACCACUGGGACUAAAGAGAGCACAACGGAAGUAGUUCUGCCAGAAGGGCUGAGGAGAGGGCUGAGCAACCACCCUCAGGGGAGGCAGACCCACAUCAAAGACAUCUCAGCAGUCCCUUUCCCAUGAAAGAAAGAGCUAGAAAUUGUCCAUUUGACACACACACAAACCAGAUCCCAGAUUGCAAUUGAUUCAGAUAAUGAAAAGCUUGUUCUUUUCACUUGCUGUUCUAGCCUAACCAUGUAGGUGUCAGAAGCAGUUGUAGGCUAGGAGAGAAGUCGGAGCAAUACAGAAGCCAGUUCUGCCUUUGCCUCAAGAUCCACUGUCCACUCAGAGGCAGGCUGGCACAUGGGGGAUGAGAACAUUCCAAGAAAGAUGUGAAUCUGGAAUUUUCAUUUAUGCAGUAGAUGGGGAUUUACUACUGAAAGGAACAUGUUUUGGCAACUAAUAGUGACCAAAAGAAUUUGUACUUACUAAAAAUUAUCUUAAAAGCAUGGGAUUACCCUAGCAUUUUGUUUCAGAAACUGAAAUUAACAGAAAACUAUAAAAUUACUUUCUGCCUGAAACCUAAGAAGGUGAACUCAUGCCAGAAACCAGUUACAUUCACAAUUACCUGGAUUUUGUUAUUUCCUACAAUGAAUAAAACUUAUUAUAAAGCAGAAAAGC